rnacentral:misc_RNA from 1 species
UCUCCGUUGGUGAACCAGCGGAGGGAUCAUUACAGGAUCGAAAGACACCUAUAACCCCUGUGAACUUACUACAAAUACGUUGCUUCGGCGGGUGCCCCGGGUCUCCCGGGGCGUUCAGCCCGCCGGCAGCCUUCAAAUUCUGUUUCUUUGCGUUGGCAUCUCGAGUAUACAAAAAUAAGUUAAAACUUUCAACAACGGAUCUCUUGGUUCUG